GUUUCUUCAAUGAUGAGAAAGUCAUUACUGCUGUAAAGAGCUGGUUUGCCUCCAAAUUUGCUGAUUUCUACAAAUGAGAUUAAACAAGUGUUCCUCUGGUAUGAAAUGUGUGUGGUGUAUGUAUCUCCUAGGAGAUCAACAUGUAAAGCAGUAAGAGAUGGGGGAUCAAAUGUCAACUCGCUAACACAUCUGUGUCAUGCUGAAGGUAAAAACUUUUUGGCCUCCUCUCAUACAAAGAUGACAAUGGAAGUACUUUUGUUUGUUCAUGUGUGUGUACAUAUAGUACAUGAAUUAAUUUAUAUUUAUAAAUAUGUUAAAAAAAUAAAGCAAAAAACUGGCACUUUAAGUAAAGAGAGGUGGUUUAAUACAGUGAAAUGUUUUCGGACAUAGUAUUCCGUCUUUCAUCGGUGCCGUCACAUAC
rnacentral:lncRNA from 1 species